CCUCUCUUCUCCGAGUCCUCUUUAACGCGUGCGCCCGUCACGGCGACGUUUCGCGCACCCCUGCCACGCAUACCUAAUCUCUAACACCACGCCGCCGCCGCCGCCGCCGCCGCCCCGCGUGCCGGUCUCCUUCUGCGAGCGCCGUCGCAGCCUCCCCCUCCGUCGACGUGACCACCGACCCCGCCUCUCCAUGACGCCCGCCUCGCCGAUCCUCUCUCCCUCCUCCGCUCCGGCACCGAUCAACGCUUCGACGGCCACCUGCGCGCCGCAUCUCCGCCGCCGGAUCAACGUCGCCGACGCCCGCCUCGCCGAUCCUCUCUCCCUCCUCCGCUCCGCUGCCGACCUCCGCCUCGACGGCCGCCUCCGCGCCGCCACCGAGUUCAUCGCCGCUCCCCUCCCAUCUAGAAAAGGUAAACAAAAAAACAUUUAUGGCGUUUGAUUGCUGGACAUCACCAAAUAGAAAUUUCGUUCAAUAGGUCUCUUCUGUGGCAGUAUGAUCUGUCUGAAGUAUAGAAUGAACAUUUUCCCUGUGAAAUUAGAAGUUUUUUUUGCAUGUAUUCCUUGACUCGGGACAAGCUGAUAUGAUGCCAAACGUCCAAAUUGAUGCUCCAAACAUAGUUCGAUCCUUUAUUUUUAUGUUUAUGUUGACCAUUUGCUAACCCAUACAUUAACUAUAACAGCCCAGCACUAUACUGAUUGUGCAUUAUUUCAUAAGAUUGCACGCUUAUUUCUGGACAUAGUAUUGCAGCUCCAACUUUUGGGACUGCAAUCUUUCUAUGAGAAAAAUGCAGUACCACUUUAUAUUAUAAUCCCAUUUAUACGAAACAAGUAGUUUGGCAUACAUCAAAGUAGAAUGGUGACAUUGAAUAUAGUUAUUUUUUUCACAGAUAGCAGCCUCCGAAGUUUAGGGAAUAUUGUCCUGGACAUAAAAAUUCUUUGUUGCAAAUUUACAGUGCUUAGAUUACUUAUAAUUUAUCAGAGGAUUGUACAGUAGACUUUAUAUUAACAAAAUCUACAGAUGAUUAAAUAUUCCUUGUACAAAUUAACAACCACAUCCACCGUAAAACAGAUUGUGAAAUUUACUUAUAGGAGAAACCUAUGGGAUGUGCUCCUGACAAUCUGCUCAUGGGAAAGAAAUUUAUAGUGCAUUGUAUUUUGAGAAAGAUGGCUUCUGUACUCAGCUCACUAAAUCCUAUUGUUUAGUUGAACUCUCCGAUACUUAAGUUAAUGUGUUGAAUCUAUGCUUGACUGCUAAGUAUAUACUUUUAGUAUCGCCUGAUGUCAUAUGUGAUGCUUUUGAGGGAUCCUACUGUACACCUUGAGAUAAUUUACUCUUAACCUGAUGCACUCAUAUGUGAUCAAUAGUUACAAUAAUUCCUGUUAUAACUGGGCUAGCAUUCAUUUAUAGUUACAAUAAUUCCUGUUAUCAAUUCUCCAGUGGUAUAUUUGCUGAAUAUAUAUGAAACUUGACACAAAUCUCACAUCUUAAUAGCUCAAAAUAUAUGUAAUAUUACUCAAAUAAACUUUUCCUGAAGUUUUCUAUUGUGCUUUAUGUAUUAUAUUUUCAGAUAUUCACAACCUAUUUUAUAUUGUUGAUUACUGAUAAUAUGGGAAGCAUUGGUAAGAUGUACAGGAAUGAUGAUUAUAGAUAUAUGGUACAGCAAAUUUGUCUAUCACCAAUACCAUGCAAUUUAAUGAUUUUGUGCAGUCCUUGAUUAAUGACAUCUUGAAGUACAUGUACAGUUAGGACAAUGUCAGAUUAAAAUCCAAAUCCAUGCUUACAGUUACUUCACAUCUGAAGUAAGAUAAAUUAUCCUAGGAAUUAAAUUCAAGAUUUUAUUGGUUUUAUUGGUAUUUUGGUUCUUAGGAUUAGGAUUUUUGCAUGAAAAGAGUACUACUAGAUUGCGGCUAGGUCAAGGCUCUCCUUGAAACAGCCUUUUACAUGGACACUGCAUAGUAAGGUCCAGUGAGUUUUUUCAUUUCAGACGUGUGCAACUCUCUGUUCUUUACUCCUUGCCCAAAUAAAUUCUGAUUUAAAAUUCAGAAUUUUGAAUUUGAUUUUUUUUCUUUUUUUUGGUCAUUUUUGCAUACUGCACGUGGAAUGGAUAUCCUGCUUAAUGAAUACUAUCAUGCUGCAGUUUUCCCUUUUGUUUUGGUGAAUUUAGUACUAUGCAGAUCAGUUCGUGCUACUUUUGUUUGCAGUUAGUGGAACUGAGUUUGGUUCUUCCUAUUCAGAUACAUUGUUUCCUGCAUGAUCAAUGACUCAAAUCUCAAUGAAGAUAGGCAUAUUGCUAUUCCAGGUUGGUUAUCUGAAUGUGUGCAGGUUUGCAAUUUGCAUGUCAUUGGAUGUAUAUGGUUGAUAACUUGAUAUGGGAGUAAUUGGGAAAUCUGUGAUAAGUGAAAGAUCGGAGGUAUGUUUUGCCACGGUGGAUGAACAGAAAGCCCGGUGAGGAUGGCAAACAUGGAGUGAAGAGGGUAUGAUGUAUGCUGUGGCCAGAAGAAGUUGCUCCUAUGAUGGAAAUUGUGAGCAAGACAGGCCCUCGAAUCCUUUUUUUUUUCCCUGAUGAAUUUGUAAUUUGGAUAUGCUGCUGGAAUCGGUUGAAAUCUAUUUGUAACUCCACUUUCUCAUUUCCCCAUCAUAUAUGUAUGCAUUGCUGAAAGUGAUGUGAAGAGGGGAAUAGAUAGCGUGUAGCCUAACAGACUAUGGAUCAUUGGAUUGCAUCUAUGUUUCUGAUGGUCUUGCGGGUUUGAGACUUUGAGCUUGAGAAUGUAUUUCUAUUUUUGGAUU